GAGUUAACGCGUGGACGGGCAUGCCUAAUACAUGCAAAUCGAACGAAGCCUUUUGGCUUAGUGGUGAACGGGUGAGUAACACGUAUCCAAUCUACCCUUAAGUUUGGGAUAACUAGUCGAAAGAUUAGCUAAUACCGGAUAAUAACAUUCACUUGCAUGAGUGAAUGUGGAAAGUUGCGUUUGCAACGCUUUUGGAUGAGGGUGCGACGUAUCAGAUAGUUGGUGAGGUAACGGCUCACCAAGUCAUUGACGCGUAGCUGUACUGAGAGGUAGAACAGCCACAAUGGGACUGAGACACGGCCCAU
rnacentral:rRNA from 1 species